rnacentral:rRNA from 1 species
AUGGCCAAUCAGUUCAGUAAUGCUGCGGCGGUUGCGCUCCAAUCCUCCUCUGUCAACACAUGGUGGGAUAAGACAUUCAAACUAAAGCAAAAAGGAGUAUUGCUGGACGAGUGUACAGGGGCUGCAUACGUGGCUUGGAACCUAUGGAACGAGCGCAACCGGCGGAUCUUUCAGAAUCAACAGUGCUCUGCCGCGGGGGUAUGUUCUUUGAUUAGGGAUGAAUUAGGCCUCCUGAAGGAGGCAUAGGAGUAG